rnacentral:rRNA from 1 species
GAUGAACGCUGGCGGCGUGCCUAAUACAUGCAAGUCGAGCGAAUGGAUUAAGAGCUUGCUCUUAUGAAGUUAGCGGCGGACGGGUGAGUAACACGUGGGUAACCUGCCCAUAAGACUGGGAUAACUCCGGGAAACCGGGGCUAAUACCGGAUAACAUUUUGAACCGCAUGGUUCGAAGUUGAAAGGCGGCUUCGGCUGUCACUUAUGGAUGGACCCGCGUCGCAUUAGCUAGUUGGUGAGGUAACGGCUCACCAAGGCAACGAUGCGUAGCCGCCCUGGGAGGGUGAUCGGACACACUGGGACUGGGACACGGCCCAGACUCCUACGGGAGGCAGCAGUAGGGAAUCUUCCGCAAUGGACGAAAGUCUGACGGAGCAACGCCGCGUGAGUGAUGAAGGCUUUCGGGUCGUAAAACUCUGUUGUUAGGGAAGAACAAGUGCUAGUUGAAUAAGCUGACACCUUGACGGUACCUAACCAGAAAGCCACGGCUAACUACGUGCCAGCCGCCGCCGUAA